rnacentral:rRNA from 1 species
AUUGAACGCUGGCGGCAUGCCUUACACAUGCAAGUCGAACGGCAGCGGACCUUCGGGUGCCGGCGAGUGGCGAACGGGGUGAGUAAUAUAUCGGGAACGUACCUUUCAGUGGGGGAUAACGUAGCCGAAAGUUACGCGUAAUACCGCAUAUUCUGUGAGCAGGAAAGCAGGGGAUCGCAAGGACCUUGCGCUGAUUGAGCGGCCGAUAUCAGAUUAGCUAGUUGGUGAGGUAAAGGCUCACCAAGGCGACGAUCUGUAGCGGGUCUGAGAGGAUGAUCCGCCACACUGGAACUGAGACACGGUCCAGACUCCUACGGGAGGCAGCAGUGGGGAAUUUUGGACAAUGGGCGCAAGCCUGAUCCAGCCAUGCCGCGUGAGUGAAGAAGGCCUCGGUUG